rnacentral:pre_miRNA from 1 species
GAUUUCAACUAAAAAAGUCAUCAACAACAAAGUUGUAUAACUCAUCAAUAUCUAUAACUUUUAUUUUGGUCAUUUCUUCAUCCAAUAAAGUGAUAGUAAUAUUAUUCACAAAAUUUACAUCUCUCUCCUAUUGUUUAUAAACUAUAUAAGAGAUAUGUGCAUUUUGUGAACAAUGUUACAAAUCAUUUUAUCGGAUGAAGAAAUAAGCCAAAUUAAAGUUAUAGAUCUUGAUGAGUUAUACCACUUUGUUAUUGAUGACUUUUUCAGUUGAAGUU